ACUGUUAUCAGAUUUCGAUUUAGCCAUGCGAGGCGAGAGGUGAAAGACCUCGCCGAACUGCUCAGUAACACGUAGUUAACUUACUCUUAGGUUGGGGAUAAUCUUGCGAAAGUGAGGCUAAUACCCAAUAGCUGUUUGAUGCUGGAAUGCGCUAACAGUUAAAAUUCCGAUGCCUAAGAAUAGGACUGCGGCGUAUCAGGCGGUUGUGAGCGUAAAGUACUCACAAACCUAUAACGCGUAGGGGCCAUGAGAGUGGGAGCCUCGAGAUGCCUUCUGAGACAUGAAGGCAGGUCCUACGGGACGCAGCAGGCGCGAAAACUUUCCAAUUCAUUAACGUGUGAGAAGGGAAGUCUGAGUGCUCAUGUUUUACAUGAGCUUUUCUUUAGUCCAAAAAACUAGGGGAAUAAGUGGUGGGUAAGACAGGUGCCAGCCGCCGCGGUAAUACCUGCGCCACAAAUGGUGAUCACUAUUAUUGGGUCUAGAGCGUCCGUAGCCGGUUUAGCAAGUUCCUGGUGAAAUCUGGCAGCAAACUGUCAGGCGUGCUGGGAAUACUAUUAAACUUGAGAUUGGGAGAGGUCAGAGGUAGUCCAUGUGUAGGGGUUAAAUCCUUUAAUCCAUGGAGGACCACCGGUGGCGAAGGCGUCUGACUGGAACAAGUCUGACGGUGAGGGACGAAAGC
rnacentral:rRNA from 1 species